CGGAACAUGGUUCCAAAGGGGCGCUGAUUGACGCAUAGUUUCAUAUCCCACGCCCGAGGGGGCCGUGAGAUUAAGCCAACAUGGCAGGUGCUCACGUUAAACAUAUCAGACUUUCAUGUCCCUAUCUACUAUCUAGCGAAACCACAGCCAAGGGAACGGGCUUGGAAUAAUUAGCGGGGAAAGAAGACCCUUUUGAGCUUGACUCUAAUCUGGCAGUGUAAGGAGACAUAAGAGGUGUAGAAUAAGUGGGAGAUAUUAGACUUCGGUUUGGUAUCGCCAAUGAAAUACCACUACUCUUAUUGUUUCCUUACUUACUUGAUUAAAUGGAACGUGUAUCAUUUCCUAGCCAUUAUACGGAUAUAUUUAUUAUAUCUUAUGGUAUUGGGUUUUGAUGCAAGCUUCUUGAUCAAAGUAUCACGAGUUUGUUAUAUAAUCGCAAACAAAUUCUUUAAUGAGAGAUGCAUUUACUGUAUUAUUGAUUUGAAAAUUUGGUAUAACUCCAAUUACUCAGGUAUGAUCCAAUUCAAGGACAUUGCCAGGUAGGGAGUUUGACUGGGGCGGUACAUCUCUCAAAUAAUAACGGAGGUGUCCCAAGGCCAGCUCAGUGCGGACAGAAACCACACAUAGAGCAAAAGGGCAAAUGCUGACUUGAUCUCGGUGUUCAGUACACACAGGGACAGCAAAAGCUCGGCCUAUCGAUCCUUUUGGUUUAAAGAGUUUUUAACAAGAGGUGUCAGAAAAGUUACCAUAAGGAUAACUGGCUUGUGGCGGCCAAGCGUUCAUAGCGACGUCGCUUUUUGAUCCUUCCAUGUCCGCUCCUCCUAUCAUUGUGAAGCCAAAUUCACCCAGGCUUGGAUUGUUCACCCAUGCAAAGGAACGUGAGCCGGGUUUAGACCGUCCUGAAACCAGGUAGUUUUACCCUAAUUAUGACCAAACGUUGUUGCCA
rfam:Drosophila ananassae strain TSC#14024-0371.13 Ctg01_8078, whole genome shotgun sequence.